UAGUUGGUGGGGUAAAGGCCUACCAAGGCUACGAUCUGUAGCGGGUCUGAGAGGAUGAUCCGCCACACUGGGACUGAGACACGGCCCAGACUCCUACGGGAGGCAGCAGUGGGGAAUUUUGGACAAUGGGCGCAAGCCUGAUCCAGCCAUGCCGCGUGAGUGAAGAAGGCCUUCGGGUUGUAAAGCUCUUUCGGCCGGGAAGAAAUCGCAUAGGCUAAUACCCUGUGUGGAUGACGGUACCGGAAUAAGAAGCACCGGCUAACUACGUGCCAGCAGCCGCGGUAAUACGUAGGGUGCGAGCGUUAAUCGGAAUUACUGGGCGUAAAGCGUGCGCAGGCGGUUUAGUAAGACAGGCGUGAAAUCCCCGGGCUCAACCUGGGAACUGCGCUUGUGACUGCUAAGCUAGAGUACGGCAGAGGGGGGUGGAAUUCCACGUGUAGCAGUGAAAUGCGUAGAGAUGUGGAGGAACACCGAUGGCGAAGGCAGCCCCCUGGGCCGAUACUGACGCUCAUGCACGAAAGCGUGGGUAGCAAACAGGAUUAGAUACCCUGGUAGUCCACGCCCUAAACGAUGUCAACUAGGUGUUGGGAGGGUAAAAC
rnacentral:rRNA from 1 species